rnacentral:lncRNA from 1 species
UUAUUCAAAGACUAUCUGAGGUGUGUGACAACUUACUGACCAGCAAGCUCCGUUAAUUCAAACAUGCCUAGAUAAGAAGGCACAAUGCAUCACUUCAGCUCCUGAUCCUUCUGCUUUGGCUUUCUCCUUCUCCUCACCUCAGCCAUUCAAAGCCACGAAUAACAUCAUGCAAUCCUUGUUAAAUAACAGCAGCAAAAUGAGGCUUUCUACCCAAGGUAUGCACUGGCUUUCCAGAGCAACUACUUGUUCCCAGGAGGAGACUAGGAAAAAUAGUCUCAUUUAUUUGGAACUAUUUUCUUGCUCUUGUGUAGAUACAAUUUGGAAAACAUGCGACAUGGUGAAAUGUUUCUUUGCUUUGAUGGUUUCCAAAGUCAAGUAAACAAAAAAUCAAAAUAGUCUUUGUUUGUUACUAAAAAAACGUGAGAAUUCCGACCAGGUUAUAUCAGCUAGAGACAUUCCAAGAGCCCUCACACUGAACCUCCUUCCGUCUGCAGAUGUACCGCAGUCCUCUGGGAAGGAAAAGAGCAUUAAGGAGAUGUGAAGAAUAAUGGAAAGUUGCUCUUCCCUCGUUCAGUGAUUUCUUCUAGUCAGAUGAAAGGAAAAAACACGCUCCAGUUUUCUCUCAUGGCAAAAGUAAUACUUAACUAAUAACAUCUGCUAUGUAGUUUAACACUCUGCUGUAAAGAAGCUACUAACCUCAAGGUCAUUAAAUCCUCAGCAGUUUAAUGUUCACAAAUUCUCAGAAAAGCAAAUUAGUUGGUGAAACAUCCGUGUUAUAAUGAAUGAACAUUAACAUGAGAGUGCACCAGAACUUUAUGUGAAAAUAGUACUGCAAUUUGCUAUUGCAUAACUCUGCCAUUUUCAGGGCACGCAUUUACACUAAGAUACCAAAGUGGAGGACAAGGCUGCUGGAGGUGCUGAAGUGCAAGAGUGAUGCAAGUACUAAACACUCCCCAGCAACCCCUUCCUGCACUAGAUAAGGGGUCCUGGUUGUCCUUUUACUUAUAUCAAGAAGAAGGACUUGGAAUUAUUUUAUGAAUUAUUACAUAAAGAAAGCUGCAAUAGCUGGGAGGGAAUGGCAGUAGGAGGAGAAGAGGAAAAGUGGCAUUAUCCUUCUCCAUCUCCCAGGCUCAAAAAUACUUACUGUGUAUUUUAAAAUAGCUGAUGUCUCCUUGAAAGAUAUCUGCUUUCCCUCUCUGUGUUAGGAAUGGCUUCUGUCAGAGGUAGGAGUGAGGACAAUACAGACAGCAGGCAGGAUGCACAGACAGCAGUGUACACAGACACACACACACGUGUGCAACACAUGUAAGAUGUGCUCUCACUGAGCUCCUGCAGGCUGACCUCCGCUCAGCACAGCAUCGAGACUGAGGUGUUCAGGGGUCAGGUGAGGGAAUGGAGGUUUGAACAGUAGGAAACGUAAGAGCAGGGAAAGAAAAGUAAGCAGGAAAAAUGAGAGAAAAGAUGACAAGCAGAAGCAAAGUUAGGCAACACAGAAGAGAGAAGAGAUGGGAAAAGACGAGACAACCUGUCCAGAACGGAAGAGCAGAGGCAGAUCAUCAGUGGAUCAAAAGCAGCCUCCAUGACCAAGGUCUGCACUGCUGAACACAAGACAAACAUUACCUUCUGGCUGUCAUCCACACAGCUUAGCAGUGCCUCCAGCUGUUACCAGCUGGUCACAUCCACACCUCACCACACUUGGUGGAGGGGUCUGAGGCCUUUGUUGUCUGCACAACUCAUACCUCAUUAGCAUUGAGUCUGUUUCAGUACUACAGGAUCUGAAACAACCUGGAGACUACAUUGUAACCCAGAGUGAACCUUCAAAGAUCCAAAUGGGCAGGUUGGGAGAGGGAUGAAGAAUAGUGAAAGCCCCAUGAUGGUGCACAACACCUCCAGGAUGGACUACUUCCAAAACAAAAUCUUGCUACAGUCUUGCAGAGAAAAUGGAAAGGCAAAGAGAAGAAGGGAGUGAGCUAACCAUUAAUCAGAGCAGAGAGCUGGAUCUUCACUCGGCUUCAUGGCUCUCUCCAGCACUGCACUACAGAAGCAUCCCAAGAAUAGAAUUUUAAAUGAAGAGAAGAGCAUAAAGCAUGUCUACACAAACUUCAGAGUCAGGAAAGAAAGUAAGCUGAAGACACGUAGCUGCAUUUACUGCAGGGAGAUGGUUACUUCAGUUCAAGCUGGUCUUUAAGCUAACAGACAAAUUGUAUUACUCCAUACUGCACCACACUGUGCAAUACAGCCACAUCCAUUCAGAGCUACAGAGCAAAACUGAAGUGAACUGUUUACAUUUGAAUUGCUAGCAUCAUAAUGACUCCAUAGGCAUUGAUUUCAUCUCUGCAGCAACAAACAUUCUAUGGUUUACCUUCCUGCCUGCAAAUCACCUGCUUCAACCUGUUCAUUAAAGUAUGCAAUAAUCUUGUGAUUUAUCACAGGUCUUAUUAUCCCCAGUGGACAAUUUGCAAGACUGAGGCACAGAUGAGCAUGGAAGAAUACACCAGCUGUUCCCACAGAGGAAAGAUGAGAACCGUCAAACUAUGACAUAAGAACAUACAUGAAGGACAUAAAUACUGGGAUGUCUGCUCUUUUCCUGCAAGCUAAUGCAGCCACCUCAGGCACACUUGAAACUUCAGAGAGCUCAGUAGCAAUUCUCACUUUUGUCAAGUCAUUUCAUGAUUAUGUAACACAAACAUUCUCCCUUCGGUAAUUUAUACUUUUGUAACCACAAAAAAAAAAAAAAA